rnacentral:rRNA from 1 species
AGGAUGAACGCUGGCGGAGUGCCUAAUACAUGCAAGUCGAGCGGCAACGCGAGUAGUUUACUACUUGGCGGCGAGCGGCGGACGGCUGAGUAACGCGUGGGAACGUGCCCCAAAGUGAGGAAUAACUGCCCGAAAGGGUAGCUAAUGCCGCAUAUGAUCUUCGGAUUAAAGGAUUUAUCCGCUUUGGGAGCAGCCCGCGUCAGAUUAGGUAGUUGGUGAGGUAACGCUACACCAGCCGACGAGUCUGUAGCUGAUCUAGAGAGAUGAUCAGCCAGACGUGGGACUGACGACCACCGGCCCAGACCGUCCGACGGGGAGCGA